GAUAGGGGUUUUUAGGAGGGGAAACUAGGAAAGUCGCUUAGUAACUUCAUUAGCGAAUUUAUACAACCUGUGAUUUUGCUCGAGUGCAAUUUGAAAGCCCCUUUUAGGUACACUCACACUGAACAAAGGCUAGCAUGUAGCGCAUUCUGUGUAGAAUUCCCACCUAAAUGUAUAAGCUAAGACUUAGGGGUUUCUUUAACCCUUUUGUCCUUCUAUAGACCUGUUUCUUUUUCUAUUUACAUUUCUAUUUGAAAUGUAAAUAAAGAAAAUAUCUAAUAAAAAAUUUCAUUGGCUUUUUCUGUCUGUAGUGGGGGCUACAGCUGGGGGUAGAAUAAUUAUUUAAUAUUUUCAUGCAAAUAUUUGACAGUGUUCCUGAAGUAUCAUGUGAAUAUUAGCUGUAGAAAUAAAUCCUUUGAUUUGAAUAGUCUUUAGAUCUUGAUAGCUAUUAACCACUGCAAAGUUCCUUUCUCCUUUCUCUUCUUCUCAUGUGACACCCCUCAAUGAAAGGUCCAUAUUGAAAUGUCUCAGGUUAAUUUGAGAGUAUGAGGGUAACCAAGGGAUAAACACUCGAAGUGUGUCACCUCUUGGGCUUGGGCAUCCCCAAAGACCUCCCCAGCACACUUCUUAGAAACUAGAAUGGGAAAGUUUUAAUUUCUCAUCCUUCUAUAUAAAAUAUUUUAUUGUGUAUGUGUUAUUGACUGUGCAAAGCAACUGUAUUUGUAGCAUAUAGCAUAUAUAUAGCAUAAGAAUAAACUUAAAGCGAUUUUGUAUGUAAAACUAUGUACACAUGAAUCUCUAGUGUAGUAUGUGUAGGUGGUUUGGCUUUUUGGCUUAGGGGGUUGUUUAUUUGGUUGCUUGGUUUUUUUCUGUGAACUAAUCUUUACCCUGUUUUUGAUCAAAGGGCUAAUAUGUAGCUAUGGUUUAAUUUAUAUUUAUAUUACCUCUUGUUUGACCAAAGAAGGUGUUAGUUAGAAUCUAAGAGCCACAUGGUAUACCCAAAGUGUCUUCUGACACUUUAAGCUGUAGGUGGCUUAGAAGGAACCACCAGAAAGCUGAAGUGCUGUUGGUCUCUAGCAAUCUAAAUGUGAAUAAAGCAAGCUCGAACAACGUGUAGUGGAGCUAGACCUGGGUUCUGGUUUCAACACCUUGAAAAUGUUCCUCUGAACCUCAGGAGCUGUGGGCCUAAAGUACUGAAGUCCUUAGAAAGGAAACAUCAGCAUACAUUUUCUGCACCGUUGAUUAUCUUAUUCGUAUUUUAAUUGCUUGUGCAGUGUUAUAUGGCUGUGUAAUCAUGUCUCCAUGUGGUUUGUGUUGAACCGCAUCAUUAUGGAAAUAUGACGCUCCAUUAAGCAUUAGGAAAAUAAUUGUUGUUUGUACAGAAACAAAACACAGCCCUUUCUCUGCUCAGUGCACAAGCAAAUCCCCCCACUAGUGUGUCUUUAAUAUGUAUGCACUACCCAGUUCUUCUCCAAUGUAAUGUCAGGUUCCUUUUUAUUUAUGUUUUUAUUACCUUUAAUCUUUUUUUUCUGUCCAGUCAUUGUCCCUCUCCCAUUCUGCCCUCCAACGGCUCCUUUUUAAAACCGCCUUACUGUAGCAUGCCCUGCGUAGUGGUGCUCAGGGGGACGAGCAAAGAGUGAACCUAGUCUUCCUCGCUUCAUACCCUUCUGUCCUCCCACUCUGCAAGCUGCCAGCCUCUUGCUUUUUGUUGUGUUCCUAGCAGAGUAUGGACUAGAAAAACAAAUGACAAAACAAAAAAGAAAAGAAAAG
rnacentral:lncRNA from 1 species